rnacentral:misc_RNA from 1 species
AACUUUUAGCAAUGGAUCUCUUGGCUCUCGCAUCUAUGAAGAACGCAGCGAAAUGCGAUUAGUAAUGUGAAUUGCAGAAUUCAGUGAAUCAUCGAAUCUUUGAACGCACCUUGCGCUCCUUGGUAUUCCGAGUAGCAUGCCUGUUUGCGGGUCAUUAAUAUAUCAACCUCAUGAGCAUUUUGCUUGUUGAGUGUUGGAUCUGGGGGGUUUCUCUUUUGCUGGUCUCAUCACUUUUGAGGUCAGCUCCCCUGAAAAGCAUUAGCAGAACAAUUUGUUGAACCGUUCACUGGUGUGAUAACUAUCUACGCUAUUGACGCAAAGCAAGUUCAGCUUCUAACAGUCCAUUGACUUGGACAAAUUUUCAUUAAUGUGACCUCAAAUCAGGUAGGACUACCCGCUGAACUUAAGCAUAUCAAUAAGCGGAGGCU